rnacentral:rRNA from 1 species
AAUACAUAGCACAUUCGAGGUAGACGCAGAGAACUGAAACAUCUAAGUACCUGCAGGAAGAGAAAGAAAAUUCGAUUCCCUGAGUAGCGGCGAGCGAAACGGGAAAAGCCCAAACCAGCAAGCUUGCUUGUUGGGGUUGUAGGACUCCAAUAUGGUAGUUCUUUCAGAUAGUCGAAUGACUUGGAAAAGUCAGUCAAAGAGGGUAAAAACCCCGUAGACGAAAUGUGGAAGACACCUAGGAGGAUCCUGAGUACGGCGGAACACGAGAAAUUCCGUCGGAAUCCGGGAGGACCAUCUCCCAAGGCUAAAUACUCCCUAGUGACCGAUAGUGAACCAGUACCGUGAGGGAAAGGUGAAAAGCACCCCGGAAGGGGAGUGAAAUAGAACCUGAAACCGUGUGCCUACAACAAGUCAAAGCCCGUUAAUGGGUGAUGGCGUGCCUUUUGUAGAAUGAACCGGCGAGUUACGAUUGCAUGCGAGGUUAAGUUGAAGAGACGGAGCCGCAGCGAAAGCGAGUCUGAAUAGGGCGUUUGAGUAUGUAGUCGUAGACCCGAAACCAUGUGAUCUACCCAUGUCCAGGUUGAAGGUGCGGUAAAACGCACUGGAGGACCGAACCCACGUACGUUGAAAAGUGCGGGGAUGAGGUGUGGGUAGCGGAGAAAUUCCAAACGAACUUGGAGAUAGCUGGUUCUCUCCGAAAUAGCUUUAGGGCUAGCCUCGGAAUUGAGAAUGAUGGAGGUAGAGCACUGUUUGGACUAGGGGCCCAUCUCGGGUUACCGAAUUCAGAUAAACUCCGAAUGCCAUUCAUUCAUAUCCGGGAGUCAGACUGUGAGUGAUAAGAUCCAUAGUCGAAAGGGAAACAGCCCAGACCACCAGCUAAGGUCCCAAAAUAUAUGUUAAGUGGAAAAGGAUGUGGGGUUGCACAGACAACUAGGAUGUUGGCUUAGAAGCAGCCAUCAUUUAAAGAGUGCGUAAUAGCUCACUAGUCGAGUGACCCUGCGCCGAAAAUGUACCGGGGCUAAACAUAUUACCGAAGCUGUGGAGUACACCUUUAGGUGUAUUGGUAGGAGAGCGUUCUAAGGGCGUUGAAGGCAGAUCGUGAGGACUGCUGGAGCGCUUAGAAGUGAGAAUGCCGGUAUGAGUAGCGAAAGACAGGUGAGAAUCCUGUCCACCGAAUGACUAAGGUUUCCUGGGGAAGGCUCGUCCGCCCAGGGUUAGUCGGGACCUAAGCCGAGGCCGACAGGCGUAGGCGAUGGAUAACAGGUUGAUAUUCCUGUACCCGUUGUUUUUGUUUGAGCAAUGGAGGGACGCAGGAGGCUAAGGAAUGCAGACGAUCGGAAAUGUCUGUCCAAGCAGUAAGUCUGAAGAGGAGUCAAAUGCUUCUUUUCUUAAGGACAAGCUGUGAUGGGGAGGGAAAUAAUAGUACCGAAGUUCCUGAUGUCACACUGCCGAGAAAAGCUUCUAGUGAGAAAACAGCGGCCCGUACCGCAAACCGACACAGGUAGUCGAGGAGAGAAUCCUAAGGUGAGCGAGAGAACUCUCGUUAAGGAACUCGGCAAAAUGACCCCGUAACUUCGGGAGAAGGGGUGCUGAUCAUACGAUCAGCCGCAGUGAAUAGGCCCAAGCGACUGUUUAUCAAAAACACAGGUCUCUGCAAAAUCGUAAGAUGAAGUAUAGGGGCUGACGCCUGCCCGGUGCUGGAAGGUUAAGAGGAGUGCUUAGCGCAAGCGAAGGUACGAAUUGAAGCCCCAGUAAACGGCGGCCGUAACUAUAACGGUCCUAAGGUAGCGAAAUUCCUUGUCGGGUAAGUUCCGACCCGCACGAAAGGCGUAACGAUUUGGGCACUGUCUCAACGAGAGACUCGGUGAAAUUUUAGUACCUGUGAAGAUGCAGGUUACCCGCGACAGGACGGAAAGACCCCAUGGAGCUUUACUGUAGUUUGAUAUUGAGUGUCUGUACCGCAUGUACAGGAUAGGUAGGAGCCGUAGAAAUCGGAACGCUAGUUUCGAUGGAGGCGCUGGUGGGAUACUACCCCUGCGUUAUGGCCACUCUAACCCGCACCACUAAUCGUGGUGGGAGACAGUGUCAGAUGGGCAGUUUGACUGGGGCGGUCGCCUCCUAAAAGGUAACGGAGGCGCCCAAAGGUUCCCUCAGAAUGGUUGGAAAUCAUUCGAAGAGUGUAAAGGCAGAAGGGAGCUUGACUGCGAGACCAACAAGUCGAGCAGGGACGAAAGUCGGGCUUAGUGAUCCGGUGGUUCCGCAUGGAAGGGCCAUCGCUCAACGGAUAAAAGCUACCCUGGGGAUAACAGGCUUAUCUCCCCCAAGAGUCCACAUCGACGGGGAGGUUUGGCACCUCGAUGUCGGCUCGUCGCAUCCUGGGGCUGUAGUCGGUCCCAAGGGUUGGGCUGUUCGCCCAUUAAAGCGGCACGCGAGCUGGGUUCAGAACGUCGUGAGACAGUUCGGUCCCUAUCCGUCGCGGGCGUUGGAAAUUUGAGAGGAGCUGUCCUUAGUACGAGAGGACCGGGAUGGACUUACCGCUGGUGUACCAGUUGUUCUGCCAAGGGCAUUGCUGGGUAGCUAUGUAGGGAAGGGAUAAACGCUGAAAGCAUCUAAGUGUGAAGCCCACCUCAAGAUGAGAUUUCCCAUUUCUUUAAGAAAGUAAGAUCCCUGAGAGAUGAUCAGGUAGAUAGGUCAGGAGUGGAAGUACAGUGAUGUAUGGAGCGGACUGAUACUAAUCGAUCGAGGACUUAACCAA